rnacentral:rRNA from 1 species
AUUGAACGCUGGCGGCAGGCCUAACACAUGCAAGUCGAGCGGAUGAAGGGAGCUUGCUCCUGGAUUCAGCGGCGGACGGGUGAGUAAUGCCUAAGAAUCUGCCUGGUAGUGGGGGAUAACGUCCGGAAACGGGCGCUAAUACCGCAUACGUCCUGAGGGAGAAAGUGGGGGAUCUUCGGACCUCACGCUAUCAGAUGAGCCUAGGUCGGAUUAGCUAGUUGGUGGGGUAAAGGCUUACCAAGGCGACGAUCCGUAACUGGUCUGAGAGGAUGAUCAGUCACACUGGAACUGAGACACGGUCCAGACUCCUACGGGAGGCAGCAGUGGGGAAUAUUGGACAAUGGGCGAAAGCCUGAUCCAGCCAUGCCGCGUGUGUGAAGAAGGUCCUCGGAUUGUAAAGCACUUUAAGUUGGGAGGAAGGGCAGUAAGUUAAUACCUUGCUGUUUUGACGUUACCAACAGAAUAAGCACCGGCUAACUUCGUG